rnacentral:rRNA from 1 species
UCUCGGGGUUACAGCCUUGCUGAAUUAUUCACCCUUGUCUUUUGCGUACUUCUUGUUUCCUUGGUGGGUUCGCCCACCACUAGGACAAACAUAAACCUUUUGUAAUUGCAAUCAGCGUCAGUAACAAAUUAAUAAUUACAACUUUCAACAACGGAUCUCUUGGUUCUGGCAUCGAUGAAGAACGCAGCGAAAUGCGAUAAGUAGUGUGAAUUGCAGAAUUCAGUGAAUCAUCGAAUCUUUGAACGCACAUUGCGCCCUUUGGUAUUCCAAAGGGCAUGCCUGUUCGAGCGUCAUUUGUACCCUCAAGCUUUGCUUGGUGUUGGGCGUCUUGUCUCUAGCUUUGCUGGAGACUCGCCUUAAAGUAAUUGGCAGCCGGCCUACUGGUUUCGGAGCGCAGCACAAGUCGCACUCUCUAUCAGCAAAGGUCUAGCAUCCAUUAAGCCUUUUUUCAACUUUUGACCUCGGAUCAGGUAGGGAUACCCGCUGAACUUAAGCAUAUCAAUAAGC